CCUACGGGAGGCAGCAGUAGGGAAUUUUCGUCAAUGGGCGCAAGCCUGAACGAGCAAUGCCGCGUGAACGAGGAAGGUCUUCGGAUCGUAAAGUUCUGUUGAAGGGGAAAUAGAGCGGAGAGAGGAAAUGGUCUCCGAUUGAUAUUACCCUUCGAGGAAGUCACGGCUAACUACGUGCCAGCAGCCGCGGUAAUACGUAGGUGGCGAGCGUUAUCCGGAAUGAUUGGGAGUAAAGGGUGCGUAGGCGGCCUGCUAAGUCUGGAGUGAAAGGUACCGGCUCAACCGGGACAGGCUCUGGAAACUGGGGAGCUAGAGAGCAGGAGAGGGCGGUGGAACUCCAUGUGGAGCGGUAAAAUGCGUAGAUAUAUGGAAGAACACCAGUGGCGAAGGCGGCCGCCUGGCCUGUUGACUGACGCUGAGGCACGAAAGCGUGGGGAGCAAAUAGGAUUAGAUACCCCAGUAGUC
rnacentral:rRNA from 1 species